rnacentral:rRNA from 1 species
AACCAGCACCUCAAGUGGUCAGGAUGAUUAUUGGGCCUAAAGCAUCCGUAGCCGGCUCUGUAAGUUUUCGGUUAAAUCUGUACGCUUAACGUACAGGCUGCCGGGAAUACUGCAGAGCUAGGUAGUGGGAGAGGUAGACGGUACUCGGUAGGAAGGGGUAAAAUCCUUUGAUCUAUUGAUGACCACCUGUGGCGAAGGCGGUCUACCAGAACACGUACGACGGUGAGGGAUGAAAGCUGGGGGAGCAAACCGGAUUAGAUACCCGGGUAGUCCCAGCUGUAAACUAUGCAAACUCAGUGAUGCAUUGGCUUGUGGCCAAUGCAGUGCUGCAGGGAAGCCGUUAAGUUUGCCGCCUGGGAAGUACGUACGCAAGUAUGAAACUUAAAGGAAUUGGCGGGGGAGCACCACAAGGGGUGAAGCCUGCGGUUCAAUUGGAGUCAACGCCAGAAAUCUUACCCGGAGAGACAGCAGAAUGAAGGUCAAGCUGAAGACUUUACCAGACAAGCUGAGAGGUGGUGCAUGGCCGUCGCCAGCUCGUGCCGUGAGAUGUCCUGUUAAGUCAGGUAACGAGCGAGAUCCCUGCCUCUAGUUGCCACCAUUACUCUCAGGAGUAGUGGGGCGAAUUAGCGGGACCGCCGCAGUUAAUGCGGAGGAAGGAAGGGGCCACGGCAGGUCAGUAUGCCCCGAAACUCUGGGGCCACACGCGGGCUGCAAUGGUAACGACAAUGGGUUUCGAAUUCGAAAGGAUGAGGUAAUCCUCAAACGUUACCACAGUUACGACUGAGGGCUGCAACUCGCCCUCACGAAUAUGGAAUCCCUAGUAACUGCGUGUCACUAUCGCGCGGUGAAUACGUCCCUGCUCCU